rnacentral:lncRNA from 1 species
UUUACCGUUCACCAUGGACAUGGAUGAGAUUGUGAGAGUUCAUUUUUUCCAACUUAACAAAGUCAGAAGUCAUUUCUUUCAAUGAAGGAGACAUAGAAAUCGAACCUAAAGAUUGUUAUAUAACUUGAUUUGGGAGACUGCUGCAAUAGCUUGACUGAGAAGAUGAUGAAGAUGAACAUAAUGAAGUGUAUAUAACUUGAUUGUUGGGAAGAUGCUGCUGCACUUGAAACCUGAAAAAUUUAAUGGUUAUGCAUGUAAAACUCAGAGCGCACGGGGUUGCCACACUAACCUUUAGGUUCGAUUCGCCCCCACCAAUAACUGUAUAUUUGAUGCAAAAUGAAUGACUAGCGAAUACCCUUCAAGAUACUAUGAGUUCCUUGAUGUGUAUUGCACAGCCACACCAAGCGUAUUUCCUAACAGUAUUUUACAGAUUUAUGGUUUCAGCAAUUCACUCAUGCAUUAGAGAAUUGAUGGAUGAUUUAAAGUAAGAAAAUGAGUAAGAAAAUGAGGGUUAAUGUAACAAAAUUCUUGUUCUUGUUGUGUCCAAAUUAAUGCCCAAAUGUCAAACAUUUAUAGUGCAUUAUAUGACCAUUCACAUGAGUGAAAACACCCUUUUGACUUGAAUCAAUGAUAUGGUUCAUUAAGCACUCAUUUGCCAAAUGUUAUGAUCAUAUACACUUGAAUCAAUGCUAUGGUUCAUUAAGUAUCCAUUUACCAAAUGUUAUAAUGUAUAUGAAUGAUUCCCAUAAAGAGUUAUAACUUUUGGUUCUAAAGUGAUUCCAUUAUUUUAGAAAUCACCAACAAAACAUUCAAGACACAUAAUCUAGAAAGAGAAAUCAACAACUCGAAGAAUAAUAUACUCCCUCCGUCCCAAAUUGUAAGACGUUUUGGACAUUUCACACAUAUAUUAAGAAAUGCAAUUAAUAUUGUGUGGAAAAGAGAUAUUAUGAGUUGUUUUACAAAAUUGUCCUUAAUAAAUAAUAUGGGAAAAAUAAAUGAAAGAAUUGAAAUAAGAGAGAGUAAUAAAUAGUUAAGGUUAUAAGAGGAAAAGUAACGUUAAAGUUGCAUUGGUAUUGUAAAGCGACAUACAAUUUGGGACAAAUUUUUUUCCCUAAAGCGACAUACAAUUUGGGACGGAGGGAGUAUUGUCUAGUAAAUGAAAUGCAUCAAUGCUAAUCAAUAUUGAUCCUAUACAUUCAUGACUAAUCAAUGCUAAUCAAUUUACACUUAAUUUACAAUAAUGAUAUUCUAAGACUUUUAUAUAUCCCAACGGGUAUAAUAUAUACCCCAAUGGGUAUAUAGACUAAGGCCCCGUUUGGAUUGGCUUAUUUUGAGUUUAUGUGGGCUUAUCUACUUCCAUAAGCUUUUUUAAAGGUGUUUGGGUAAAUAAAUAAAAAUAGCUUAUCAUAGUUUCAUAAGCUGCUUAUGCCAUAUUUUAAUAAGCCUGAAUUUUCAGCUUACCCUCCGGCUUAACAAGGAGCUUAUGAAUUUAUGUAACCUCCUUCGAUUCUCUCUUGAUCCACUUUUUCAAAACAUAUAUAUUUAUUUUAUUUUUUAGUUUUUUUUUAUAUUUUAAUUAUAAUGUUAGUUAUCUUUGGUUGUGCAUGAGUAACAAAAUUGCUAUAUACUUAUCUUACUAAAGUAACACACGUAACUAAGAUUUUUUUUUUUUAAGGAUGAUUUUUAUUAUUUUUUUGUUACGUAACAAAAUAAAACUGAAUAAAAAAAAUAAACUUAACUUGUCUUUUUUUGAUAACAAACUGUACAUUAAUAUCUAUAUAUGGUAAGUUUACAAUCAUAAUUUCUCAAGUUUAUAUUUAUAUUAUUAUACUUUUUUUUAAAAGAAAGUUUAUCAUAUAUUAUUAUACUUGUGUAUAAUGAUGUUUAGACUAUUUAUUUACACCUCGAAUGUUAAUUUUGUCUUAUAUGAAUAUUGAUAUUUUUUUAAGGACGAAUAUUGAUUAUACUAUAUAUAUAAUUAUAAUUAAUAUAUUAUAAUAUUAUUUUUUACAUCUUGAUUAAUUUUAUCAAAAAAAAUCUUGAUAAUUGUGGUUCGAUUCUUUGAUUUUUUUGUUAAAUUAAAAAUAUUUAAAAUUUUGAGAUAAUUGCUUAUGUAAUGUCACAUCCAAACACUUCAAUUUAUGUAAGUACUUUUUAGUGUACAUAUCCAAACAUAAAUAGCUUAUCAAGUAUAAGAGCUUAUGAUGUAAGCUAUAAUGUUAUAAGCAUCUAUAUAAGCUGUUUAUCCAAACGGGGUCUAAUAAGUAUCAAAGACUAUUAAAAAACCAUAUAGUCAACAAAUUUAUAUGAAAGCUUAUUCAUUCAGAAGAUGAGCUAUGUAUUGGAUCUUCUAGUCACAUUCUUUGUCAUAUGGUCAUCACUUAAUUUCAAAUCAUUUGAAAUAAGUUUACCAUUCGGUCGAAGAAAUGUCUCUGAACGAUUAAAGUUAUAUUCCAUCCAAAGCAUCAAUUUCAAAAGCUAGGAAGAUUUUGUAGAUAAUCACAUGACAGAGUUUUCAACAAAAGAGUUAGUUUUAUUUUAUGUAAAAGAUAAUGUUAGUGAGAUUCACGUUAUAGCUCUUCAAAAUUCACGUUGAAUAUACACUCGGUAGAUAUUCCCACAUAAAAUGGAUCCUAAAGAUAGUGUUAGUGAUAAUUGUUCAUAGGAACAUUAAAUAAAGUGGUUAUAAUAUUCAUAACUUUGAAGGUAAACAUGACUAUUUAGUAAAAUAUAUGCAUUAAAGUAAAGACGGGAAUCAAACCAAGUUCAAAGAAAACUUUAAAUCUAAUCAAUAUUAAUGCAGUUUCUCUAGACAUAGUCGAACAAAAUAAACACGAAUAUAAAAGAGAUGGGGCUUAAGAAAACCAAACAAUAUUCUUAAAAAAAUUAAAAAAAAAACCAAAAUGUAACACCACAAAGAUAAUUUUAUACGCCACAGAGAGUUUAACACCUACACACGACGCCCUUUCUUGUUUUUUAUAUCUUGUCAGUCUCUGUUUGUCUUGAGUGGUGACCUGGUUAUUAAUAAAUUUAGUUGUUCAAAAAAGUGAGACUUAUUAUAUGGGGGUGCAUUUAGCAUAUGAUAAUGUGUAACUUGCAAAGCCCACAAGUGUGCUCUCUUGGCUUGCAGAAGCACAAAAUUGGUUGCCUUACUUCAAGAGCACAUAAGUGAUUAUGUAAAAUAUGGUCUUUUUGUUUAAGCAACAUGACACUAACCUAAAUCACUUUUAGUAAACCCUAUUCUUUCUGAAACCCUGAAACUAAACCCUCUUUCCUCUUUCUAAGUGUUCAUCAAAUUAGCUAGCACAAUGAGUACAUGAGUUAUGUUAGUGUAGACUGAGUAAAAACAUCGCUAUUUUUCUUUUCUAAUGGUCAUCCUUACACUUGAUAAUCGUAUAUUCUAAAUUUAGAAGUAGAAUAAAUAAUAAAUAUUUUUUACCAAUGAAUAAAUAAUAAAUAUUAAUAAUGAUAUAUUGACAUUAUUAAUUAAAGUGAAUAAUAAUUAUGUACUGACAUUGUUAUUUUUAUAUUGUUAUUGUCAAAAAGAUUUAAAGGCAGGCGAAACAUUUUUUCAAGAAAAAACAAAGUGCAAAUGACAAACUUGACAUCUAAACUAUGUUGGCUUCCCAUUAUUAUAAUCUAUAAUUUGCAGCACUCUAAAAUUAUUAUAAAUAAAUAAAUGAAAAAUGAAAAUUACAAAUAUUGAGGGGACUAGACCAAAACCUAAUAAAAGUUAACCAAGUGAUUUUAGAAUGUCCCUUGUUAACCUAUUGGGAUAAAACCCGAGUACGGGAAAAAGGUACAUAACAACUAAACAACAUAAAGGCAACAUAAACAUAAAUCAAAGUGCAUAGGAUAUGACAUGAAAAUAAAUUAUAUGUAACAUAUAAUUAUUUUACAUAUUAAUGGUUAAUAAUCCAACCACAAACAAAAUAAGUUAACGCACAACAAGUAUUGUUCAGGAAUGUUACACCCAAUUUUGUGGUUAUUUACUCGACAAUGAAUGUGACUGUUGCAUGAAACAAACACUGCAAUGUAAAAUAACAUUAAAGUAUUUUUAUUAAAAGAGUAUGAAAUAUUGUGUCUAAUAUAAAUAAGAAAAUGAGAAAAUAAUGUCGAAAAUUACUUACCGCCAUUGGUUACAUGGAGAUAUGUAUAAAGGAAGAUUAUCAGAGCAAAAAAAACUUUGAAAUGUGAGUCAUUGUUUUGAAAAAUUUUAAAGAGAUCGUUUUUGUAAAAUGAUAUGAACUUGGCGUGAUUUUGUGAUUUCAUGGAAUUGGCCUAGGAUACUUGUAUGCCUAAGAUACAAUGGAUUAACCAUUUUAUAAGUAAAAGUUUAUUGCUUGAAUUGACAUCAAUUAAAUAAAUUAAAGCUAUUGUUAAAUGGCUCUAAGGUAUAUCAGUGUGCCAAGUUUAUCCUUUAGCGCACUCAAUUAACCAGUUAAGCAUAAUAAAGAUCUCAAAUAAAAAAAAAUUAAGCCCAUAAAAAAUUUAGUAGAUUUUUUUAUUUUUUAGCCUAUCAUGAUAGAGAGGGGACAAAAUACCCAAAGAUAAAUAAUGGCAAGGUAAUUAAAAUCGGAUCGAACCAUCUGGUUUAACUAGUUGAACCGGGAACCGGACCUAUGUCUGGUCUGAAAUAAAAAGAAAACGGGUGUUGCAACGAACCGGGAAACCAGAUAAUAAAGAUUUGUUGUGCAUAAAAAUUAAAUAACAGUAAAUAAAUAUUGUUUGGAAAAGUUAUGGAGAGAGAUGAGACUAGGUCUUCCGAAUCAUUUGAUUUUCCUUAAUUGGUACACUACACCUACUUCUCAUGAAUAUUUUUUUAGUUUUAUGAUGAUUAACUAAAAUAGCCCUAAUCAAUCCCUUGACUUAGGACCCUCUUCUCAGAUUACAACCCCUAAAUCCUUAGGUGAUCUAAUAUUCUUUGAAGGUUUGAAGAAUGUUAACCUAAUAUCACAAAUACUUGAUUGAGGUGUAUUGUUUUGAAAAAUGUCAAAAAGAUUGUUUUUGUAAAAUGAUACGAACUUGGCGUGAUUUUGUGAUUUCUUGGAAUUGGCCUUGAAUACUUGUCUGCCUAAGCUACUAUGGAUUAACCAUUUUAUAAGUAAAAGUUUAUUGCUUUACCAACAUCAAUUAAAUAUAUUUUAACACUAAAGAGGUGAAAAAUUGUUUACUAUAUUAAAGUUAUUGUUAAAUGGCUCUAAGGUAUAUCAGUGUGCCAAGUUUAUCCUUUGGCGCACUCAAUUAACCAUUUAAGCAUAAUAAGGAUCUCAAAUAAAAAAUUUAAACCCGGCAAAAAUUUAGUAGAUUUUUUAUUUUUUAGCCUAUCAUGAUAGAGAGGGGACAAAAUACCCAAAUAUAAAUAAUGGCAAGGUAAUUAAAAUCGGAUCGAACCAUCUGGUUUGACUCGUUGAACUAGGAACCAGAACUAUGUCUGGUCUGAAAUACAAAGAAAACUGGUGUCGCAACGAACCGGGAAACCAGAUAAAAACUGGAUGAACCGGGAAAACCAGCGGGCUACACGGUUUGGCAGGUUGAACCGCAUUUUACAAUUUUUUUGAAAAAAAAUCUCAAACCAGAUUUGUUAUGCCAUAAGUCUGAACUAAGAAAAGUUAUGGUGGUUUUAUAGCAAGAAGACAUAAAUCUAAGUAGAAUAAAAAUAUAGAGGAGACCAUGAAAUGGAGAUCUUGGAGAAAAAACGAAAAGGAUAAUCAUAGUUGGUGGGUUGCGUUGCUGCUAUUUAGAAAUUAGGGUUAGUGUGACAUUUAUACUUAUAAUAACUGAUAGACUUUUAGAAGGUGUACUAAAACUAUUGAACUAAUACAAUUAAUGUUGUUUCCAUGAGAACAAUAUUAAUCUCAAGUAAACGAUAGCAUUAUGAAAUAGGAUGUGUAAAGUUAUUUAGUGCCUGAGACAGUAGAUUUGUUGUGCAUAAAAAUUAAAUAACAGAAAAUAAAGAUUGUUUGGAAAAGUUAUGGAGAGAGAUGAGACUAGGUCUUUCGAAUACUUUGAUUUCCCCUAAUUGAUACACUACACCUAUUUCUCAUGAAUAUUUCUCUAGUUUUACGAUGAUUAACUAAAAUAGCUCUAAUCAAUCCCUUGACUUAGGACCCUCUUCUCAGAUUACGAUCCCUAAUUCCUUAGGUGAUCUAAUAUACUUUAAAGGUUUGAAUAACGUUAACCUAAUAUCACAAAUACUUGAUUGAGGUGUAUUGUUUUGAAAAAUGUCAAAAAGAUCGUUUUUGUAAAAUGAUACGAACUUGGCGUGAUUUUGUGAUUUCUUGGAAUUGGCCUAGGAUACUUGUAUGCCUAAGCUACUAUGGAUUAACCAUUUUAUAAGUAAAAGUUUAUUUCUCUAUUGACAUCAAUUAA